rnacentral:rRNA from 1 species
CAUGGCUGUCGUCAGCUCGUGUCGUGAGAUGUUGGGUUAAGUCCCGCAACGAGCGCAACCCUCGCCCUUAGUUGCCAUCAUUCAGUUGGGCACUCUAAGGGGACUGCCGGUGAUAAGCCGAGAGGAAGGUGGGGAUGACGUCAAGUCCUCAUGGCCCUUACGGGGUGGGCUACACACGUGCUACAAUGGUGGUGACAGUGGGCAGCGAGACCGCGAGGUCGAACUAAUCUCCAAAAGCCAUCUCAGUUCGGAUUGCACUCUGCAACUCGAGUGCAUGAAGUUGGAAUCGCUAGUAAUCGUGGAUCAGAAUGCCACGGUGAAUACGUUCCCGGGCCUUGUACACACCGCCCGUCACACCAUGGGAGUUGGUUUUACCCGAAGGUGCUGUGCUAACCGCAAGGAGGCAGGCAACCACGGUAGGGUCAGCGACU